rnacentral:rRNA from 1 species
GAACCUGCGGAAGGAUCAUUAUUGAAUACUAUUAUAUUUUAGUUUUCAACUUCUAAACCCCCCCUUUGUUUAUCUAUACCAUGUUGCUUCCNCUGGACAGGUUGAUUAUGUUUUGCAUAUUCUGCCCUGUAGCUUGUUGCUUUUUUGGGUACAAGUUGGAGAGUUGCCAGUGGAUGACCUAGAAACUCUUAAAUAAAACNCUGUCUUAAACUUUUUUUUUAUUGAAAAAUAAAAUAAAACUUUCAACAACGGAUCUCUAGGCUCUUGCAUCGAUGAAGAACGCAGUAAAAUGCGAUAAGUAAUGUGAAUUGCAGAUCUCGUGAAUCAUCGAAUCUUUGAACGCACAUUGCGCCCUAUAGAAUUCUGUAGGGCAUGCCUGUCUGAGCAUCAUAAUAUCUACUCAGAUCUUUGAUUAUUUUAUAUAGUCUUGGAUUUGGAUUUAAUCAGAGAAGUAACCUAUAUGAGUAGAUUACUCUUUGGAAAAAUAAAGGCAGUUAUAGUGAAACCUGUAUUAAACGUGAUAUUAAAAAGUUUCGUUUUUAAG